CGAACGGGUGAGUAACACGUGAGUAACCUGCCCCUCACUUCUGGAUAACCGCUUGAAAGGGUGGCUAAUACGGGGUGUUCUGGCCUGCUCGCAUGGGUGGGUUUGGAAAGAUUCGACCGGUUUUGGUUGUUUUGGUGGGGGAUGGGCUCGCGGCCUAUCAGCUUGUUGGUGGGGUGAUGGCCUGCCAAGGCUUUGACGGGUAGCCGGCCUGAGAGGGUGGGCGGUCACACUGGGACUGAGACACGGCCCAG
rnacentral:rRNA from 1 species